AAGCUCUGCUUUCUCUGAUGUUAGCGGCGGACGGGUGAGUAACACGUGGGUAACCUACCUAUAAGACUGGGAUAACUCCGGGAAACCGGGGCUAAUACCGGAUAAUAUUUUGAACCGCAUGGUUCAAUAGUGAAAGACGGUUUCGGCUGUCACUUAUAGAUGGACCCGCGCCGUAUUAGCUAGUUGGUAAGGUAACGGCUUACCAAGGCGACGAUACGUAGCCGACCCUGAGAAGGUGUGUAUCCGGUCCACAGACACUGACACACCGCCCCAGACUCCUACGGGAGGCAGCCUUAAGGAAUCCUCCCCAAUGGGGCAAAACCCGGACGGAGCAUCGCCCCUUGAGGGAUGAAGGCCUUCGUUUCUUAAACUCCGAUGGUAAGGAAGAAAUAAUUCGUUUGUCACUGAACCCCUCUUGGCGGAAACCUACCCGGAAAAGCCACGGCUAACUACGUGCCAGUCAGCCGCGGGUAUUACGUACGGUGGCAAGCGUUAUCCGGAAUUAUUGGGCGUAAAGCGCGCGUAGGCGGUUUCUUAAGUCUGAUGUGAAAGCCCACGGCUCAACCGUGGAGGGUCAUUGAAAACUGAGCAAACUUGAGUGCAGAAGAGGAGAGUGGAAUUCCAUGUGUAGCGGUGAAAUGCGCAGAGGAUAUGGAGGGAACACCAGUGGCGAAGGCGGCUUUCUGGUCUGUAACUGACGCUGAUGUGAGAAAGCGUGGGGGAUCUAAACAGGAUUAGAUACCCCUGGUAGUCCACGCCGUAAACGAUGAGUGCUAAGUGUUAGGGGGUUUCCGCCCCUUAGUGCUGCAGCUAACGCAUUAAGCACUCCGCCUGGGGAGUACGACCGCAAGGUUGAAACUCAAAGGAAUUGACGGGGACCCGCACAAGCGGUGGAGCAUGUGGUUUAAUUCGAAGCAACGCGAAGAACCUUACCAAAUCUUGACAUCCUUUGACCGCUCUAGAGAUAGAGUCUUCCCCUUCGGGGGACAAAGUGACAGGUGGUGCAUGGUUGUCGUCAGCUCGUGUCGUGAGAUGUUGGGUUAAGUCCCGCAACGAGCGCAACCCUUAAGCUUAGUUGCCAUCAUUAAGUUGGGCACUUUAGGUUGACUGCCGGUGACAAACCGGAGGAAGGUGGGGAUGACGUCAAAUCAUCAUGCCCCUUAUGAUUUGGGCUACACACGUGCUACAAUGGAUAAUACAAAGGGCAGCGAAUCCGCGAGGCCAAGCAAAUCCCAUAAAAUUAUUUUCAGUUCGGAUUGUAGUUUGCAACUUGACUACCUGAAGCUGGAAUCGCUAGUAAUCGUAGAUCCGCAUGCUACGGUGAAUACGUUCCCGGGUCUUGUACACACCGCCCGUCUCACCCCGUGGGGUUGUUCCCCCUUUCC
rnacentral:rRNA from 1 species